CUUCUUGCACAGAAUACUCAAUUGUCGACCUCGAACCCACAGGAAUAAACAAGAGAGACAGAGACAGGCAGAAACAAGGAAAAUGCCCCUUGUAUUUGAACACUAUACAAAUAUUCUUUUACAAAACUUUUCUUUUAAUUUUUCCAAAAUUGAAUUGUUUUCCAUACUU